rnacentral:lncRNA from 1 species
GGUCGUCGAAGGACACGGUGGCUUCGCCCUUCAGCUUGCCGGUCUCGCGGUCCGUGUACAGGUUGAUCAUGGGCUGCCCUGUCUUCUUAUUGGUCUUAAUGAUGCCGAUCUGCUUGAAGUAGUCGGCCACCGACUCGAUGGUGACGUUCUCUCCCAGGCCUUGCACGAAGAUGGUGUUGUUGUCCGAGUUGUCCUGCUCACCAGGGUCAUGGCGCGGCCCUUGGUCCCGGGGUCCCCAUGUUGCCUCCACGGCCUCCCCGGCUACCACGGCCACCGCGCUCGUAGCCGCCCCGGCCGUACCCUCCGCGCCCGCGGCUGCGCUCCUGCUGCCCUCCAUAGCUCUGCUCCUGGUAUCCUCCCGAGCUGCUCAGCGGGGCCUGCUCCUGCCCAUAGCUGCUGGAGGAGCCGCUGUUGCUGUACUGGCUCUGCUGGCUGUAGCUCUGCGGCGCGCUGUAUGAGGACUGCUGGCUGUAGGAGGGCUGCUGGCUGCUGUAUGAGGACUGCUGGCUGUAGCCGGAGCUGGGCGGCUGCCCGUAGCUGGAGCUCUGGGAGCUGCCCCCAUAGCUUCCGGCGGAGGAGCUGGCGGAGGGCGGCUGGUUGUAGCUGGGGUAGGAGGAGGUCUGCCCAUAGGAUGGCUGUGAGCUCUGCCCACCGCCGUACCCUCCGCUGCUGCCAUAGGUCGGCGGCGUCGACUGCGUGCUGUAGCUGCUCUGCGCCUGUCCGUAGGAGGAGCUGUAGCUGCUCUGGCUGUAGGCCGCCCCGUCGGCCGGCUGGCUGUAGCCGCUGUAGCUCUGCUGCCCGUAGGGUUGGCUGCUCUGCUGCGAGUAGCCCUGUGUCGGCGGGGCGGGGUAGGCCCCGUAGCUCUGUGUGGCGGUCUGGCUGUAAUCGUUGGAGGCCAUGGCGGUGCCGCCCUGCUCGGCCGCUGCCCUCCACGUGGCGCUCGGAGCUCC